UGGCGCAUUUUUGGAUACUUGGCGAUUUUCACGAUACUUGGCGCAUUUUUGGAUACU
rnacentral:sRNA from 1 species